GUCAAGGCUAGAGUCACACUUGGAUAUCAGCUACUGCCUUAGUGUGCUGGAGUCCUUGAAGAACAACUGCUGACCAUACUCACUGACUCUGGCCCUGCUGUGGUGUGGCCAGUCACCAGGUCAGUGACAUGC